AUUUAUGUGCUCCUUUUUCAAACCUUUUCCUUACCAAUGACUUUUCCUCAUUAUAAUAUUUAGACCAAUGAAUUACUAACUUUUAGAAACACGAAUACUUUUAUUACUAUCGUAUACAAAUUCCGACCGUCAUCUUUUUAUUGGAUCUUUCUAAGUUAUCGUGAACAUUUUAUUAGUGAUUUUGAUUUUGUUUAUUUAGCAUCUCCCGCGAUUUGAUCAAUUUCACACUUACAUAAUUAUGUGAAUAUUACAAACGCGUUACGCGUAAAAUGUGAAUAUAGUACUAGAUUAUAUUGUUUUCGUGAUUCCUUUUUGCUGUC